CUUUGGUGGCGACCGGCGCACGGGUGCGUAACGCGUAUGCAACCUACCUUUAACAGGGGCAUAACACUGAGAAAUUGGUACUAAUUCCCCAUAACAUUCGAGAAGGCAUCUUCUUGGGUUAAAAACUCCGGUGGUUAAAGAUGGGCAUGCGUUGUAUUAGCUAGUUGGUGAGGUAACGGCUCACCAAGGCGACGAUACAUAGGGGGACUGAGAGGUUAACCCCCCACACUGGUACUGAGACACGGACCAG
rnacentral:rRNA from 1 species